UACAGAGGUCCCAAGCGUUGUUCGGAUUCACUGGGCGUAAAGGGUGCGUAGGCGGUCGGGUAAGUCUGAUGUGAAAUCUCACAGCUUAACUGUGAAACUGCAUUGGAUACUAUCCGGCUAGAGGAAUGGAGGGGAGACUGGAAUACUUGGUGUAGCAGUGAAAUGCGUAGAUAUCAGGAGGAACACCGGUGGCGAAGGCGGAUCUCUGGGCCAUACUGACGCUGAGGAGCGAAAGCAUGGGGAGCGAACAGG
rnacentral:rRNA from 1 species